UGUGUCCAUGCCUGGAUCUCAAAAUGGAUCAUUUGCUUUGAAGUCCUCUAAUGUUCUUCCAAAAGCUGACAUUUCCCUGCUUUUUCAGGCAAUAUGAACACAAAACUCAGGCCUGGACCCUGAAUGAAGGAGCCGGGUGAUAUCUCUGUGAGCAAAUAUCUCCAUAUCCACAGGCAGCAUCACUCUCCUCCUGGAUGAGAGAGGCGGGCUGGAAAGAGUCUGGAGCCCCAGGGACACGAGGACAGAGUUAUCCAGGGGUUUCUCUCUCACCAUUUCUGCAGCACAUCUCUAAUUAAGCUCUCUGAACAAACCCUGUUCCAGACUGGCCUGUGGAUAAAAUUGACCUUUAAAAAGAGAACUGAGAUACCCAAGGGGCUGGACAGGACUGGACAGCAGUGAGGAGAGUGCAGCCCUGGGACAAAUCCUGGAGAGGCCAUGGGAUCACUGUCCAUGGAGGAUUUUAAGGCUCAGCUGGGUGAAGUUGUGCUUGAGCUGGUCUGGUGUUGAUUCUAACCCUGCCUGGAGAAGGAUCUUGGGUCAGAGAGCUCGAGCAACCCCCAUUUCUGUCAUUCCUCAGGUUCUGUGCAAAGCCAGCCCCAGUUUGCUCUGCCCAAUGAGCCUCUGCAGGACUGACUUUGUUUGGGUGAAAGAAAAGGAAGAUGAGACUGUGAUCCCAACUUUCCCAACAGAAAUAAAAUAAAAUUAAAAACCGAAUUCUAGCAGUAAGAGAAGCCCCAUUUUUAUUGAUGCUGCACAGAGGCAAGUGAUUUUGCAUCCAGUUUUAGGAGAGCAGUAUAACUGCUUUUGACA